GGUCUUUGGCAGCACGUUUACUGAAAUUGGAAGGAUUCAGAGAUUGGCAUGACCUCUGCACAAGGAUGAUACAAAUUAAUGAAGGGAUCCAUAUCUUU
rnacentral:snRNA from 1 species